GUGUGUGACGGUAUGUGUGCAGAAGGACCUCAUCCCACAGGAGGCGUCUACGCAAGAGGGAGCGCUACAGGCAGCCUACUGCAGCCUGCUCCAGGGCCUGUCUCUGGAGCUUCCACCUACAGCAGGCAGUGAAAGGCAGAGCGUGUUGGAGUUCUUCAGACUGGCAGAGUCUGACCCACCAGUGGAGGACUGUGUAACAACAGCAGAGGGAAAGCACAGGUGCACUCUGGGAAUCGUAGGCGAGCUCACGUUCCACAGCCCAGAGGCGGCCCCUAAAAAGCAGCAGGCAGAGCAUUGGGCAGCUAAGGAGGCCCUGAGGCGCCUGAGUGGAAUCCUGAGUGGGG